rnacentral:lncRNA from 1 species
UGUUAAUAAAACAGAUUGGAAAGUCAUUUAUAGGUUCAUAGAUACAUAUGCCUGUAUAUAAUAAUCAGAACUGUGCUCUUACGUAUAUGUUGAAGAGCACAGUUCUGACCAUUUAAGGAAAAAUUCACAGUUAACAACCUUUAUAUACCUCACAGUAAGGUUACUGCAUUAUUUGAUGAGUUCUUGCAUCCUCAGGAAAGGCUAUCCUUUAAUUUUUUUAUCCUCUUUUAUGUCCUAGGAAUCGUAAGGAAAACCCCACCCUUUUAUAGGAGCGUUUAACUUUUUCAACAUUUGACUGUUGCCCGUCAGAGUUAUGGAACCAUCAACACCCUUGGGCUCAGGUUACUCUCCUCACUGGACCUGGCCAAACGAAGCAGAAAGGGGCUUUGAGGUAAGCAAAUCAGAGAAUACUUUCAGGGAAGAAUAGAUUUAUUCCAUUUUAGGAAUGGACUGAGAUCUCAUUAACAGGUACCUGUUAAUAAAACAGAUUGGAAAGUCAUUUAUAGGUUCAUAGAUACAUAUGCCUGUAUAUAAUAAUCAGAACUGUGCUCUUACGUAUAUGUUGAAGAGCACAGUUCUGACCAUUUAAGGAAAAAUUCACAGUUAACAACCUUUAUAUACCUCACAGUAAGGUUACUGCAUUAUUUGAUGAGUUCUUGCAUCCUCAGGAAAGGCUAUCCUUUAAUUUUUUUAUCCUCUUUUAUGUCCUAGGAAUCGUAAGGAAAACCCCACCCUUUUAUAGGAGCGUUUAACUUUUUCAACAUUUGACUGUUGCCCUUUGGAACUCUUACCUUCAGAGAUCCCAGCUCCUGUUGGACUCAAAAACCCCUUGGGAAGCAUGAACCCAGAAUCCCUCUCUCUUGGUUGCUCAGUAGUCAUGGGAUUGCUCCAGCUGAAUGCCAAGCAAGCUAACAGGCUACAUGUUGAAGAGUUACUUGCUAAUGAGUUGGAAAAAUUAAGGAAUUCAAGAGACCAGCUGAAUUGCUUGCAGUUUCUGGUGAGAUCAUCUAAGGCCGUUUCAGUUCAGAAAAAGCUUUUCAAAUCCAUCCAAGUUUCUAAAGGAUCCACAGAAGAAAUGCCAGAAACAUGGAUUAUCAAGGUAUUUGACAAGUUCUUUGUAUCCAGACUGUGAUGAUUAUGUGUGUGAGUCUUCUUGGUGUUAUUUGUAGUGACAGGAUGAGGGGUAACAGUUUUAAACCGAAAGAGGGGAGAUUUAGAUUAGAUAGUAGAAAGAUUCUUUGCUGUGAGGGUGGUGAGACACUGGGACAGGUUGCCCAGAGAAGCUGUGGCUGCCCCAUCCCUGGAGGGGUUCAAGGCCAGGCUGGAUGGGGCUUGGAAAUCCAUCCAAGUUUCUAAAGGAUCCACAGAAGAAAUGCCAGAAACAUGGAUUAUCAAGGUAUUUGACAAG